UACGUAGGGGGCUAGCGUUGUCCGGAAUCAUUGGGCGUAAAGAGCGUGUAGGCGGCUUGGUAAGUCCGCUGUGAAAGUCCAGGGCUCAACCCUGGAAUGCCGGUGGAAACUGUCAAGCUUGAGUCCGGAAGAGGCGAGUGGAAUUCCUGGUGUAGCGGUGAAAUGCGCAGAUAUCAGGAGGAACACCAAUGGCGAAGGCAGCUCGCUGGGACGGUACUGACGCUGAGACGCGAAAGCGUGGGGAGCAAACAGG
rnacentral:rRNA from 1 species